AACGUACGCUGGCGGCACGCCUAACACAUGCAAGUCGAGCGCGCCUUCGGGUGAGCGGCGGACGGGUUAGUAACGCGUGGGAACGUACCCUUCUCUACGGAAUAGCCUUUGGAAACGAAGAGUAAUACCGUAUACGCCCUUUGGGGGAAAGAUUUAUCGGAGAAGGAUCGGCCCGCGUUAGAUUAGAUAGUUGGUGGGGUAACGGCCUACCAAGUCUACGAUCUAUAGCUGGUUUUAGAGGAUGAUCAGCAACACUGGGACUGAGACACGGCCCAGACUCCUACGGGAGGCAGCAGUGGGGAAUCUUAGACAAUGGGCGCAAGCCUGAUCUAGCCAUGCCGCGUGUGUGAUGAAGGUCUUAGGAUCGUAAAGCACUUUCAAUUGUGAAGAAAUGCACAUGGUUAAUACCCAUGUGAGCUGACGUUAACAAUAGAAGAAGCACCGGCUAACUCUG
rnacentral:rRNA from 1 species